AUUUGGUCAUGGGUUAUCCGAUCCUAAGGCAUAGGGAAAUUCCUUGUAAUACAAGAGCAAUUUGCUCGUUGCCGAAAGGAAUGAGGUUAAUAUUCCUCAGACUGGACGUGGAUAUUGUAUGGUAACAUAAGUGAGCCCGGAGACAUCGGUAUGAACUCCUGGAAGAGUUAUCUUUUCUUUUUAACAAUCUAUCGCCCUGAAAUGGGAUUAUCCCGAGCUAGGGCUUUAUGGUUGGCAGAGCAUCGCACUCUAUGCAAUGUCAGGUGCGUUCAUAACGAUCCUUGAAAAUCCGGGUAAGAGAUUUAUUCUCACGCCAGGUCGUACCAAUAACCGCAUCAGGUCUCCAAGGUUAGCAGCCUCUGGUCAAUAGGAUAAUGCAGAUAAGGGAAUUCGGCAAAUUAGAUCCGUAACUU
rnacentral:rRNA from 1 species